UGGACUUGUGGACUCUGGAGCCGACAUGA
rnacentral:piRNA from 1 species